rnacentral:rRNA from 1 species
GGUCGCUUCGGCGACAGUGGCGGACGGGUGAGUAACACGUAAGCAACCUGCCCAGAAGCGGGGAAUAACCCACCGAAAGGUGAGCUAAUACCGCAUGUGAUGGACCUUCCCUGGAGGGUUCAUUAAAGGCUUCGGUCACUUCUGGAGGGGCUUGCGCUCGAUUAGCUAGUUGGUGGGGUAACGGCCUACCAAGGCGACGAUCGAUAGCUGGUCUGAGAGGACGGUCAGCCACACGGGGACUGAGAUACGGCCCCGACUCCUACGGGAGGCAGCAGCUAGGAAUCUUGGGAAUGGGCGAAAGCCUGACCCAGCAACGCCGCGUGGGCGAUGAAGGCCUUAGGGUCGUAAAGCCCUUUUGCGGGGGACGAUGAUGACGGUACCCCGCGAAUAAGCCACGGCUAACUACGUGCCAGCAGCCGCGGUAAUACGUAGGUGGCAAGCGUUGUCCGGAUUUACUGGGCGUAAAGGGCGCGCAGGCGGUUUGUUUAGUCUAGGGUGAAAGCUCCCGGCUCAACUGGGAGAGGUCCUUGGAUACUGGCAGACUCGAGGGGGGCAGAGGAAAGUGGAAUUCCCGGUGUAGUGGUGAUAUGCGUAGAUAUCGGGAGGAACACCAGUGGCGAAGGCGGCUUUCUGGGCCUUACCUGACGCUGAGGCGCGAAAGCGUGGGGAGCGAACCGGAUUAGAUACCCGGGUAGUCCACGCCGUAAACGAUGGACACUAGGUGUGGGGGGUAUCGACCCCCUCCGUGCCGCAGCUAACGCAAUAAGUGUCCCGCCUGGGGAGUACGGCCGCAAGGCUAAAACUCAAAUGAAUUGACGGGG